rnacentral:rRNA from 1 species
AGCGAACGCUGGCGGCAGGCCUAACACAUGCAAGUCGAACGAACCUUUCGGGGUUAGUGGCGGACGGGUGAGUAACACGUGGGAACGUGCCUUUAGGUUCGGAAUAACUCAGGGAAACUUGUGCUAAUACCGAAUGUGCCCUUCGGGGGAAAGAUUUAUCGCCUUUAGAGCGGCCCGCGUCUGAUUAGCUAGUUGGUUGAGGUAAUGGCUCACCAAGGCGACGAUCAGUAGCUGGUCUGAGAGGAUGAUCAGCCACAUUGGGACUGAGACACGGCCCAAACUCCUACGGGAGGCAGCAGUGGGGAAUCUUGCGCAAUGGGCGAAAGCCUGACGCAGCCAUGCCGCGUGAAUGAUGAAGGUCUUAGGAUUGUAAAAUUCUUUCACCCGGGACGAUAAUGACGGUACCCGGAAAAGAAGCCCCGGCUAACUUCGUG